GUUGUCGUCAGCUCGUGUCGUGAGAUGUUGGGUUAAGUCCCGCAACGAGCGCAACCCUUGCCUUUAGUUGCUAACAGUUAGGCUGAGCACUCUAGAGGGACUGCCGGCAAUAAGUCGGAGGAUGGUGGGGAUGACGUCAAAUCUUCAUGCCCUUUAUGUCCUGAACUACACCCGUGCUACAAUGGUCGGUACAAAGGGCAGCGACCUAGCGAUUGGAAGCGAAUCCCAUAAAGCCGAUCCCAGUUCGGAUUGCAGGCUGCAACUCGCCUG
rnacentral:rRNA from 1 species